rnacentral:tRNA from 2 species
GGGCGUGUGGCUCAGUUGGUAGAGCGUUCGCUUAGCAUACUAUCUCACCGUAUGCGAAAGGUCCUGGGUUCGAUUCCCAGCUCGUCCA